rnacentral:rRNA from 1 species
GUAGGGAAUAUUGGGCAAUGGAUGCAAGUCUGACCCAGCCAUCCCGCGUGCCGGAAGAAGGCCCUCAGGGUUGUAAACGGCUUUUGACGGUGAAGAAUCGACAGGAUGCGUCCUGUUUUGACGGUAGCCGUUGAAUAAGCACCGGCUAACUCCGUGCCAGCAGCCGCGGUAAUACGGAGGGUGCGAGCGUUGUCCGGAUUUCUUGGGUUUAAAGGGUGCGUAGGCUGGAAGGUCAGUAAGCGGUGAAAAGCUGUCGCUUAACGAUAGUCUUGCCGCAGAUACUUCCUUUCUUGGAUGAGGAGGAGGCCACUGGAACGGAUGGUGUAGCGGUGAAAUGCAUAGAUAUCAUCCAGAACACCGAUUGCGAAGGCAGGUGGCUGUACCUUAAUCGACGCUGAUGCACGAAAGCAUGGGGAGCAAACAGGAUUAGAAACCCCAGUAGUCC